rnacentral:lncRNA from 1 species
UCACACCUAUACAUCAUCUACUCUCAAGUAUGUACAAGGUAGCUCUAAUGCAAAGGGUAAGAAAGCUACUACUACAACCUCUAGGGCACUAAGCCCUUACCGCGAUCAACUGCCGGUCCGCUCUCGUGUGUACCUGUACCCCAAAACCACACGGGGUGAGAACUCCAUAAAUAUAGUUCCCAGUGGGUUCGGCCGCCGACUCCGCCGAUCUUCCCACUAGGUCUAAGUAGGCAUAGAAAGACAGAUAGAUAGAUAGAUAGAUAGAUAGAUAGCUAUGCGGAAAUGAAAGCAGUAUCAACAUAGUAUAAAACGAUAUGAGUAUCAAACUAUGCCUCAAUCUAAUGCUAUGGAUGCAUGCACUACAUAGUGAAAUGCUAACUACCACACCACUAUGUCCAACAACGAUGCUAUUCAUCACAUCACCCAAUCCAUUACGUUACCCCGCCUAAGACUUCAAAUAUUGGAGGUGAAGAGUUACCCCGCUCUUGUCUCACCCAAUUCAUAUAUCUCUAAGGUCAUAGGCAAAGAGCUACCCCGCUCCUCGCCUGACUCAAGCUCAAAGGUUCAAGGCAAAGAGCUACCCCGCUCCUCGCCCGACUCAAUCUCGAUCUCAUAGAUACAAUGCUGCUCCACUCAAAUCUCAUAGUAAAGACCAACCACCACACUACUAUAUGUUCAAUAGUUUACCCAAUCACUCAACUAGCCUAGAGGCUCACUCUCAAUCUCACGUCUAUAAUAUAGGUGCCACACCUACUCUCAGCCACAUUGGUGAGGAUCCACUCACUCACCCCAGACCAUCUACGGGACCCCAAAAGGCUAUCCCUCAACCUAAUCUCAAUGGGGAGGAUCCACUCACUCGCCCAAUUCUCGACAUAGGUGCCACGACUCAAUCUCAAUAUAGUGGGUGAGGAACCGCUUACUCAAGGUGAGAACUACUCACUCAACCAACUCUCCAUCUCAUGGGUGAGGAACCGCUCACACAAGGUGAGAACUACUCACUCAACCAAGAUCGUCUGCGGGGCCCAAAAAGGCUAACCCCUCGGGACCCAAAAAGCUAUCCCUAUCGUGUGACAACUCCGGAGUGCACUGCUUGUGUGAAGCGACCACACCAAGCUUCGAACAGACGUGUGAGUACGAUCAAAUCUCCGUCACUGAGGAUACCCUACCAUCUAGGGUUAACAACAUAACUCUUUGGGCCCGUUUGGUUCGAGUUAUGUAAUAUUACAAAGUAUCUCGACAUAUCCAGGUAUCUUGGAUUUCGGCGUGAGAUUACUACUAAUGUUACAUUAGAGCGUUUGGUUUAAUACAGUAAUGUAAUACUAGAUUACAGUGUUUAUAGCAUUAAUAUGUUUGGUUCAGUUUAUAAAAUUUAGUAAUCCUGACAUAAAAGUAUAGUUUUUUCCAAAAUUGCCCUUGUUGUGGUCAUUUGAAUAUUAUUUUUUGCGGAAAUGACGAAUGGAGGGAAGGAGAUCGUGAUGAUUAUUUGGGAGGACGACGCAAUAGAAGAUGAUAGGUGUUCAUGUGAGAGAGAGAGAGAGAGAGAGAGAGAGACGUCCAGAGAGAGAGAGCGAGAGAAAGCGGCGUGCGAGAGAGAGGGCCGGGGGGAAGGCGAGAUAGAGAUGAAAAUAAUGCUGUUAAUUAGAUUUGGGGUUGUUGGAGGGUAAAAUUGUCAUUUUACAUAAUAUGUAGUAUUAACGGGUUUCAGUAAUGCAAGAUACACGACCCCCCUCCCAUUAAUAUUUUCGAUGUAAUCCUGCUCGAUUUGUAAUCCUACAUUAACAACUAGAUUACAUAGCGGAUUAACCAAACAUAGUUAUCCUGGCAGGAUUGCCUGUAAUCCUGCCAGGAUAACUCGAACCAAACGCACCCUUUAGGUUCUCUAUCAAACCGUAACUAGGGAAAUUCAUCUAUCCCUACGAUCAAUACCAAGUGUCACCUACACUAAGUCCGAUGCCACUCGUCAUAUUAUUUACUUAUCUAGAUGCCACUCGUUCUUUGGUUCUCGUCAACACAAGAUUAAGGUCAUUACUUACUUUACCACUAUAGGGUUCGAGGUCACAAUUCCCCUAUUCUUAUGCAUCCUAAGUCAAGUGCCAAACUCAAGUUGCUACACUACUAAGGAUCAUGUCAACAUUUACCAUCUCAUUAUAGGGUUUCUAACCAAUAUAUCCCAAUCUCAUGCAUACAAGGCUCAAGUGUUAAACAAGUAAUACAACACUACCUCUAGCAUGCAAGAAUAUAUAACAACUAAUUAAGCACCCUAUAAUGCAUCAUGCUCAAUAUGCAUAAUUGAUCAACCAUAAUACUUAGACAUAGGGAGAAGCCCAGUUGCUUCGGGAUGACACCCCCCACCUUUUUGGUAGUGCCGCAAGGGUUGAGAAAACUCGACUUCGCGAUCCUAAGUCGCCGCCUCGACUCUUUGGCCAACACAAACCCUCGAACACUUACUUCCGCGAUAUCUCCGCACUCGCUCGUCGUAUCGACGAACCGUCUUUGCCCCCGCGUUUGGAGACCUAGCAAUUAGGUUUACAACCCAUUAAACGAGAUCAAAAUCUUAAACUUUCAAAAACCCCAAAUCCGUGCCCUAGGUUAGCUACGAUGGAGAAAUCCGUGGUUCAAGCUUCGGAUUCGAGCUAGAACCACCUAUUAUACUCCAAUAGGCUCCAUUCGAACCCAUUCUAAAUAAUAAAACCCUAACUCAAGAAAUCCACCAUUGUAGGGUUAGAAGCUUACCUCUCCAAGCUUGCUCCAACAAGAGGAAGAAGAUGAAGAAGAUGAUCUUCUUCCCUGUCUUCUUCUUCUUCUACUCCUUCUCCUUCCUCUUCUUCUCUUUCUUCUUCUCCUUCUUCUUCUUUCUAGAGAGAGAGAGAGAAGAGUGUGAGAGAGUGUGAGGGGCAAAUGAGGGAGUGAGGGGAGAAGAGUGGUCCCCAAGCCUCUAAUAUAGGCAUUUUUGCAAAUAAGCUCCUCAACUUUCCACCUAUGAAGCAGCCUUCACUAGGCACUUUUCGCAGUGAGGGACCGGUCCCAAGUUGGGGAGACCGGUCCCCGAGAGUGUCACGCCCCGCCCCGAGGCCGCUACCGAUUUGGCACGGUUCGGGCGCGGCGGGCGGACCGCCGAACGGACAGAGUCUCCCCUGUCCGCCCAAGGCUCAAAUGACGAGAUUGUGUACAACAAGCUCCCAGGAAAACACUUGAAUACAUACACAAUCAUACAACAACGACGAGAGCACAACCAGUGCUAACAAUCAAGAGCAAGCAUCACAAGUAAUAAACAAGUGAAUAAAAGAGAGAUACUAAGCUAUUACAUCCAUUCAACUCUAAUACAUUUAAUUUCAACUUAGCUUUACAUUCAUCCAAAGCAUAAACUUAAGUUUACAUUUCCAAAAUAGCCUCACACCUAUACAUCAUCUACUCUCCAGUAUAUAGGGUAACAACUAAUGCAAUAGGAAAGCAUCUACCAAUAAGCACUAGGGCGCUAAGCCCUUGCCGCGAUCAUCUGCCGGUCCGCUCUCGUGUGUACCUGUACCCCAAAACCACACGGGGUGAGAACUAUAUAAAUAUAGUUCCCAGUGGGUUCGGCCGCCGACUCCGCCGAUCUUCCCACUAGGUCUAAGCUGGCACAGAUAGAUAGAUAGAAAGA